UACGGGGGAGCAAGCGUUGUUCGGAUUUACUGGGCGUAAAGGGCGCGUAGGCGGUCGUGACAAGUCACUUGUGAAAUCUCCGGGCUUAACUCGGAACGGUCAAGUGAUACUGUCGGACUAGAGUACAGAAGGGGCAACUGGAAUUCUCGGUGUAGCGGUGAAAUGCGUAGAUAUCGAGAGGAACACCUGCGGCGAAGGCGGGUUGCUGGGCUGAUACUGACGUGAGGCGCGAAAGCCAGGGGAGCGAACGGGG
rnacentral:rRNA from 1 species